UACGAAGGGGACUAGCGUUGUUCGGAAUCGACUGGGCGUUAAAGCGCACGUUAGGCGGAUAUGAUCAGUCAGGGGUGAAAUCCUGGAGCUCAACUCCAGAACUGCCUUUGAUACUGGAGAGGCUUGAGUCCGGGAGAGGUGAGUGGAACUGCGAGUGUAGAGGUGAAAUUCGUAGAUAUUCGCAAGAACACCAGUGGCGAAGGCGGCUCACUGGCCCGGUACUGACGCUGAGGUGGCGAAAAGCGUGGGGAGCAAACAGG
rnacentral:rRNA from 1 species